UCAAUUUACUCCCUCACAAGAUUACAUUAUUUGUGUAUACCUUAUGUUUAUGUUUGUGUUUAAUCUUUCUUUUUAGGGUCAGCCCAGUAAACGGAGGCUUUUGUGCACCUUAGGGUGGCGCAGAAACAUUUGUUUACCGGUGGAAGGGAUACUGCCACUAUCGGUGAGAAGCUCUUGCGGGAUCCAAUGCGGUCAAAUAAAUGCACCACGAUCAUUUGCAAUGUUUUUAAUUUGUAAUGAACGUACAUAAUUGUAUUUUAGAUAAUAUACUUCUGUGUUCAAAGCACUGGUAGAUUGUAGGGUAUAUAUGAGGGUCAUUCCAGAAUUGGAGGACAAUUUAGAAAAACAGGUAAUAAACCAUAAAUGUAUUUGAUUCGUCCAGCUCAGGCAUCAAAGGCACACUUUUUAUGAGAUGUUUUAUUUGUUGUGUGCUAUGCUUGGCGCAACCCUGUUACGAAUACUCAGGAACCUGAAAAAAGUAUAUUUUAAAAUAUUGUUUAAUAAAUCCUUUACCAUUAAGUAGAGAAAGUCACAUUCACAUUGAAUACUCAUUUAAUUUCAGAUAAGACUGGACUUAUAUUAAUUUAAGCAACUUUUGAAAUCUAUCUUGCCCAACUUUUCAAUAGUCACAGGUUUUUUUUACUAAUUUCGGUAUUUAUUUUCAAAUAUUUGCUCAAAUACAUUAUGCAUAUAAUCAUUCAAACUAUCAAAAGAACAAUCGGUUAAACCCUUGUGAGCUGAGAAAAUUAUUUCAGGGUUGAAAUUAGAGUAACAGGGUUGCGCAAAGUAACGGUUGAAUGGAUACAUUACUUUUGAUUGUACAUCAUGACAUAAAUGUGACAAAUAAAUACUCUGGACCACAGGAAUGUUGUUUAAUAAUAUUUUAUAUAUCGUUUAGAUGAAGGAUCAACAGGAUGAUUGGGAAUGAUCAAAAAAAUAAACAUGUCAACAAGACCACAAACUGGAUCUGAUCAAAUAUUCAAUGGACAAACAUAAAAAAAAAAGUAAUAUUACAGUAUGCCGACAACCUGGCAUUAAAAUGAAUGAGCAUUUCAAAAAUAGUCAUGAACUGAUCAAUAUUUUAAAAAGCUGGUGUUAUAAUGUUCAGAUUUAAUUUUCGCGGCUGGCCAGAGCAUCCCAUACCUCUCUUGCGAUGGCCAUGUGGCGUGCUGUAACGUUCUCUGGGGGAGGAAUGAGGGUCGGCACAUCCUCCAAGGGAUACCAAUGGAGAUCUUCCCUCAACGGCCAGAAAAAACGUUUUUCCCCCACUCUAUGCAUACAUUUCACCUGGCAGUGGGUCUCAUUCACCUCUUGGAUGAUCCCUUGGUAGAUGGUGUGGUCGUAUACCAGGGCACACCAUUUCCCCACAACCUCUGGACUGUGCCACUCCACCUCUUCUGGUUUGCUGUAUGUGGGGUCUCCUGUGUGGUCAUCUGUGGGAUUAAAACUGAAGCACUUUGUUUUUUGGCAAUCACACUCCAGAUUCCCUGUUGCCGAACACAUGCAGCUGACGUCACGGUAGAGAAUUUUCCCAGGUGAAAGAGGGACCACCUGGUGGAGCCUCAUUGUGGAUGGUACAGCUGGAAGGUCAGCUGGCAUUUCUUUCGCUGCAUCCUCCACAGCUUGCUCCUGAAUGUAAAACAAUUUCACCUUCGAUUGUCCCUCACUUAGAGCUAGGUACAUGGACAAUGCCGUAGGAAUAUCAACUCCUUGGGUGACAAGCCUGUUGGCCCUCCUCUUCAAUGUGCCACCCACACCAUCUGGGGCGCCUUUGCCAUGGCUGGCUUCAAAGUAGUUCCAGGUUCCUCUUGUAAACCCCUUCCUGAAAAUGUCAACGCUGCUUGUACUGUGUGCAGGGGCCGUCGCUAAAAAAAUGGAUGGUUGUCACAUCCGGGAAUCUCUCUCGGAUUUCCCUCAGGAUGGGCUCCAGGUGUUGCCAUAUGGCAGGUGGUCCCUUCAGUCCGGAUGCCGAUACAGUGCAAAAGGAGGUAGGGGCAGAUGCCCCCCCCACAUAGUAAACCCCAGUGUGCAAAGUGGCCUGUUGGUGUGAUGCACCAAAAUGGACAGCUUGUACUUCAGCGCUGUACUUGCAGCCGUAGUUCUCUGAGAAGUCAAUAUGGACUGCACAUUCAUUUGCAGGGAGGUUCAGCUUUAGGGCCCGUGAGACAGCAUAUUGCUGCCUGAUGUUAUAGAGAUGGCGCCUGAACUUCUGGAGCAAAAUGGCAAACGUUUCCACCAGCUCUUCUUGGGAGCAUUCAAAUUCUUUUUUCAAAGUGACCUUUGAGGCUGCUCCAGGAUAAUUGUUGUGCUCUUUGUCCACAGUGGCCCACUGAAGGUAGGAGACACGAUCGGUGGCUCUGUAGUGGCUUGUGAGUGCAUAGGUAUUAUUGCUGCAUUCCUCACAUUCCCCAUACAUUCAUUGCUUGCUUGUGGUGUCACAUGUGAUGGCUUGUGUCAGGCUCUCCAAAUUGGAUGCGUCGAUGUGCAUCUGGUGAAGCUUUUUGGCAAUAAAGCCUAGAUUUUCAUGUGGUUUGCACAUGCAAUGUUGGAUGCACAACCCAGUAGGGGCGAAAUGUGCAGAACAGUGAGUAUGAUAGACGGAGGUUGGUCUGCUCAGCAAGGAACCUCAAAUGGAGGUUCUUCAUUGAAUCCACCAGUAAUCUUUUCUGCAUUUUCUUCUUUUCUUUUGUCACCGAUUGCUUUUUUCCAGUUGUGAUCCUGCUGACAUCAUCACCUGAAAAGAGCAAUCUCCCCGUUCAGCAUGGCAGCAAUCCCCUUGUGCUUCUUCCUCUGGUACCUGCAGACAUUUUCAUUUGCCAGUUUUGUACACCUCCUCCUCGAAAAUCCAAAAACCUGUUCUGCCAACCUCUACAGCCUGUACUUCUUCAGGAUUUUGCUGGUGACUAUUCCUGCAAUGACUUGUCUGUCACUCUCUCUCUUUGAAUGUGCGUACUUGGUACGUACUUCCUCAGCUACUGCUGUAUGGAACAUCAGGGUUCUCCUUAGGGAUGUGCCCGAGAUUUCCCGAAGCAACUUGUUGACUUUGGAUCUUGGAGAUGGAUGGUCCUUUUUUGAUCGUUGGAGCCGCUUUCUGUAUUUUUAUGCUUGUUUUUCGACUUUACUCAACUGAUCCAGUAGUUUCUGCAACUCCCUGUUUAAUUUUGCUUUGGCAGCCCUCCUUUUUCUUCUCCCAAGAUCACGUUGCCUAAAAUAAACAUAUAAACACUUUCAUUAUUGAUUUCACAGUAGCAACUUAUUUGAGGGUAGUUACCCAGUGUAACCCAUAUGGAAUAUAGGGCUACUAAACCCAUGAUUAUUUAAAGAUGCAAUUGCAUGAGUUCUCCAGUAGGGCGCGCUCAACAUGAUUCCAGUAACAGGAAAUUGCACGUGAGCACCCCGUUUCGAGGGGGUCACCUUGAACCGUAACACUGGAAAGACGUUAGAGAGGUAUUAAGCACAACAGAGAAUCUCCCGGAUCUGAUCAUUGAAAAUACAGGAAACUACCGUGAAUUAUAUUGUUCACUUGAAUCUCCGGUUGGUUUUUUAUGUUUGAUCAAAGGAAGAUUGCAUCUACGAUGGCGAGCUUUGCCCAAUAGAACUGUGGAUGGUGUGGAUACGGCGUGGCCAGCCGUGAACACCACCAUAGAAGACCCUUGUGAAGAUCCAUUCAGAACAGAUAAGACAUAGAAAUAGAUACACACUAACCUACCCGGGUAGUAGUAAGAGAGAAACACACACAUCCGGAUAUCCCCCCCUUGAACUCGACAUUCCUCGACUGAACAACUCCUUCCCAAGGAGUACUGUAGCUGGGGAAUCCAGCUACAAAGGACUUAUUCUUUUGAUUUUGUUUGUUUGUUUUUUAUUUUCAAAAGCUUUAUUUUGUACCAAAUGUAAUGUAAUGUAAUGUAAUGUGUUAUGAUGAAAGGCAUUAAAAUAGCUCAUCUAUUCAACCAACACCAACUCCCUUCGUGAGUCAUUAGUGUUUAACUUCUUUAAGGACCUAGAGUGAUGCUAGCAUCCUAUCUGCCCCUUCCAGCUAAGACCACGGGUGCUACACCAGUAAUUAAUAGAUACAUAUGUAGUAAGUAGUAGCAAUACAUGCUGCAUGCAGUGGUACUUGAUAGUCAUAGCAAACAUCAUACUGAUAGCUACGAUACUGUUUCAUUAUCGAAAAUGGAUAUCUUUUGACUUGUAAUAAUUAAGGAUUAUACCUAUCAAGUAAAAGAGAUGCCUAUUUCACUGUUCAUUGUACAGAUACAGUUCCUUUACCUUUCUUUACAUAUCCUUAUGAUCUGUGCUUACACUCACUUGCAUUCCUUAAUAACCUAAACUUAUGUCCUGACCUGGAAGUCCCAUGUUGAGAGCUGACUGGAGAUUCUGGCCUGACCCGAAUUUCUGGCCUGGCUGGAGGAUCAGGGCUGACAGGAGGGGUGUUUAAUCCUUCAAGUACCUUUUUCCUGGCAUUACUCCUCUUGUGAGCCUUUUUCCACCUUUUUCGCUGGGCACGCUGCGCUCUCACACUGCAGUCUUUUUGCUUUUUCUUCUUCCCUGUUUCUACAUCUUUCCUCCACUUCUCUUUCUCUUCUUCUAAGUACUGCUGUCUCCUCUGUUCAUCAGCAUCAAGCCUGGCACGGUAGCGCCUCUGCUUUUCAGCAGCGCUCAAUGGUGUGCAAGAACUCUGUAGAAAUCAAUUUUAAAUUGAAAAAAUUUCCUACCUAUUGAAAAUGAUGUGAACAUGAUUUAAACCCAGUGAAGUUCAUUUUGAGUUAAUAAUCCCAUCCAGGUAGUUGUCCAAGAAAAAAAAUGGCAAUUUAUAUUCUGGAAAAUAUGGUAAUACAUUUAAAACAUGUAGAUCAUGCUAAA